ACCUUGCUGACCAGUGCCAAAUAGCACGAAACACGGGUCCAGGGU
rnacentral:hammerhead_ribozyme from 1 species